rnacentral:rRNA from 1 species
UACGGAGGGAGCUAGCGUUGUUCGGAAUUACUGGGCGUAAAGCGCGCGUAGGCGGCUUUGUAAGUUAGAGGUGAAAGCCUGGAGCUCAACUUCAGAAUUGCCUUUAAGACUGCAUCGCUUGAAUCCGGGAGAGGUGAGUGGAAUUCCGAGUGUAGAGGUGAAAUUCGUAGAUAUUCGGAAGAACACCAGUGGCGAAGGCGGCUCACUGGUCCGGUACUGACGCUGAUGUGCGAAAGCGUGGGGAGCAAACAGG